GACGAACGCUGGCGGCGUGCUUAACACAUGCAAGUCGAACGGAAAGGCCCUGCUUUUGUGGGGUGCUCGAGUGGCGAACGGGUGAGUAACACGUGAGUAACCUGCCCUUGACUUUGGGAUAACUUCAGGAAACUGGGGCUAAUACCGGAUAGGAGCUCCUGCUGCAUGGUGGGGGUUGGAAAGUUUCGGCGGUUGGGGAUGGACUCGCGGCUGAUCGGCUUGUUGGUGGGGUAGUGGCUUACCAAGGCUUUGACGGGUAGCCGGCCUGAGAGGGUGACCGGCCACAUUGGGACUGCGAUACGGCCCAGACUCCUACGGGAGGCAGCAGUGGGGAAUAUUGCACAAUGGGCGGAAGCCUGAUGCAGCAGCGCCGCGUGCGGGAUGACGGCCUUCGGGUUGUGAACCGCUUUCGCCUGUGACGAAGCGUGAGUGACGGUAAUGAGUAAAGAAGCACCGGCUAACUACGUG
rnacentral:rRNA from 1 species